UACGUAGGGUGCAAGCGUUGUCCGGAAUUAUUGGGCGUAAAGAGCUCGUAGGCGGUCUGUCGCGGCGGCUGUGAAAACCCGGGGCUCAACCCCGGGCCUGCAGUCGAUACGGGCAGACUAGAGUGCGGUAGGGGAGACUGGAAUUCCUGGUGUAGCGGUGAAAUGCGCAGAUAUCAGGAGGAACACCGGUGGCGAAGGCGGGUCUCUGGGCCGUAACUGACGCUGAGGAGCGAAAGCGUGGGUAGCAAACAGG
rnacentral:rRNA from 1 species